AACAUUUUCAGUUCCAAAACAGAGCCAGAGAAUGAGAUAAGGUCAAAUUUUCAGUUCCAACAUGUUACGAGUUUUCCUUCUGUAUUGAUACUGGAUUUCUCAGUAAGAUGAGUCCCAUUAAAGGCAAGAAAAGGCCUUUAAAAGAGCUCAUUUUCAAGAAAGACAUAACCUCUCCUUUUCUUUUCUAGUCUUUUUUCUGACAAAAAAAUUUGAGGACACAAAGAAGCAUGCGAUAGCAUACAAAGAUCAUCACUAAACCAACGGUGAACAUAUCUUCUCAAGAAAGAGAGUC